rnacentral:lncRNA from 1 species
GAGCUCAGGAUCAAAGUCAAGGUCAUGAGAAGCCUCUUGGACAACGAUCUCGCUUGGACAUUAGGCUGUGCCUUCUGCCCUGGGCGCUGCUUCUCCGCAUCUUUAACCUGGACGGGAGCCCACACCUGCUGGGAUGCCACUUUCCAGAACAUUCUUCUCCGUCACCCUCUGACCAAUGGUGUUGCAUUUACCGCCAGUCCGGCUGGACUAAUGGGGCACGUGACACCCAGGGAAGUGAGAUCACCUGUCCGAGCCCUUGGCUGGGGACUGGCGGGGUUUGAACUUGGAUCCAAAAACCCAGCUUCGGUGCCUGUGUCCCCUCAUUACCGAACCACAUUCCGCCCUUCUGUCUUUGAGUGGAUUUUCCAGGUCCUGGGUGGAUCCCAGGAAGGCCUCGCAGCUGGGUCACCUGCUCCUCCUCUGACCCCUCAGCCCAUCUCACUGUCCUUGUCUGGUGUGAAAGGGUCGCAGGGCAGGCAGGUGGCCUGUGCCAGUCUCCUUGUGGGGACCACCUUGCUGCCCAGCUGGGUACCUUGGCUUCCGGCUGGUGACCAAGCAUGGCUGAGGUCCCAGGCCUUGGCCGUUUGUGCCCAGCAGCCCUUGGACCUGUGCUGACCGGGGCUGCCCCAUGCUUUCUGCUUCCUCGUUUGCCUUCUUCGUCUCCUCCUGAGGGCAAAAGCUGGCCCCCGUCCUGUGUUUCUCUGGUCCUUAACUUCUUGGUUGGUGCUCUGCCCACAUUUGUAAUAAUGUACUAUUUAGAAAAUAGCAAGUAAAACAAAUUUUUGGGUAUGUUUUCUUUUUAUUGAGUUUAUUGGUACAUUCUAGGCAUACAGUACAGUUACAUUCAUCACUGGGAUCUUGUACCUUUACAUGACAGGUCUUGGUUCUCAUUUUGCCCCUUGUCCCUGCCCUCCCUUUACCCCCUCUCCCCCUCCCCAUUUACAGACACUUUAUUUCCAUUUUUCAUUUUCUCAUUUUUUUUCUUUUCCCUUAUUCCAUUUUCCCUACCCUUUCUACUUUCCCUACACCUUUAGCCCUUUUUGUCCUAUUUUUGUAUAUUUUCAUAUUUACU